UCUCCUUCUUCGAUUUUUCUAUGUCAAUUGCAUCUUCAUCUCUCUUGCUAUCUGUCUCAUGUAUCUCUCUCUUACUAUUCUGGUUUUGUUUUAGAAUUUUUCAAUUUUGGCUCGAGUUUUGCUCUGGCGAUGUUGUAUUUCCGACUAACAGAUAAGUGUUCAUUCUUUAAGGAUUUUCCGUCUUCUCCUCCAAUUCCAUAGACGAUAUUUAUUGGUUGAGUCACUGCUAACUUUGGAAUCUCUGAUGGCUAUUCUAGAAUUAUUUGCGCAUUAAAGUUUAUUCAUAAUUGAGUUUGCUCAUGCAUUUUCUGCUUUGAAUAUUAUGUGUCAAAUUUCUUGAUUUUCUCCAGAUUUCCUAAAAGGACGUUCUUAGAGAGGUUUUGAAGAUCCGGGGGGGACUGUAAUUGGCUCUCAGUAGAGAUUAAGAAGUAUUCGACGAGAAUAGAGAAAUACUCUGUGAACAAAAUCCCAAAGAUGUACCUUUGGACCCAACACUCAGCAAAUAGGAAAACGACAUUGUGGCAAGUUAUUCAUAUUUUACUUAUUAUAGAACAAAAGAGGAAUAAAAGGUUUGAUUAUUUUUUUCAUCUUCACAUGAUCAAUGACUUAAUUCAUCCAGUCUAUUACCUGGAGUUUAUCAUUGACGUUUUCAAUAUUGCCAUAGGUACUAACAAUCAAUUGUAGUUGGAGCUUCUAUUACCGGACUACUUAUAUGAUAAAAUAAUUCACUAGCACAUUAAAAAUCUGGCCCAAAGAAAAGAGAAGGAAAAUGGCACUUCGCUAAGAGAAUGUAAUGAAGCUAAAAUUAUCUCUCUUUUCAUGUUUCUAAUUUGUGUCUAUUUAAUGUCUGCUAGGUCAGAUUUUGUUGUUGAAUCUCCUUUUAUUUCACUUAAUUGCUCCAAUAGACCUAAGGCAGCCCAUUUAUAUUCGAUAAGUUUUGCUGGAAUGCUUGAUGAAGUGAAUUGGAUGAAUCCAAGAAAUUGAAUUGCAUUAUGAGACCCUUUUGUUCCUUAGUAAAUCAUAAUUUUCUUUCAUUUAUUUCUUUUUCUAUUUAUUUGUUUUAUGAGCGUCCUCAUUGGUACAUAUAGCCACUUAUAACUGCUUCGGAAGAACCUGUGGGCAACCUGCUUAAUGAAUCUGCUCAAAAGGUAAACAUUUUAUUGAAAUAUGUUUUUAUAUCCCUAUGAUCUUUCUCUGGUAUAUUAUCGGAUAUAUGGUAAGCAUUAUUGUGGUUCUCCUCCUCUGAUACAAGUGUCUGAUGCAAAUGUGCUUUGAUCAAUUGCUAUAGACUAUAAUAAGGGUGAAAAGUGAAUUAACUUUUAAUUCAACAAUCCUUCCUCAUUGAUAGUUUGAAGUAAUUGUAUAAUCAUGUGAAAUGGCUAGGUGUUGAUAUUCGACAGAUGGACUUAUAGUACUAACACUUCAUGAUGAAUGGCUAAGUGAAUCUUGCAAUUCUGUAGCUAGAUUUUUGAUAAGCUUGGUGUGACUAAAAGAGAGGAUCAAGUUCUUUUAGAAUAGAUAUUGGUUAGUAAUAAUCAAAAUGUUCCUUCAAGGACAUCCGAUAAAUUAACAAUAAAAAAGAAUAUAUUUUGGUUUUUCCAAAAAAUCUGACCAUUGUGACUUGAUUAGUGUUCCUUUAGACGAAUAAUCCAAAAUAUUUUUUCAUUUUAGAUGAAUUUUCACUUUUAAUAGCUUAUGUACCUGUGAGCCAGUUUCGCAUGUGAUUUGGAUGCAUUACUUCAUAUUGUAGGUAUUCUUGAUGAAAAAGAGAAAAAGAACAGUUAGGAAAGAAUAAUUAACCCAAAGUAGAAUUAGACUGAUUUAAAAUUCUAUCAAUACGAAAUGCUGCAUUCAGAUUCUUUUGGGAAGAGUAAGUGCUUUUUGUGGUUUCAAGGGUAUUCGUGGCUGAUGUCCCACUACGAGUUUUGAUUUUUGGAAACUGAAUAUUGCCAUGUUUGACUUGGAGAUAUUCUUUUCGGAUUAAAAGUUUGUCUUGAAGAUAGGGUUAUGAUGCUCAUUAACCUAACUCCGUUCCUAGGCUUAAAAUCCUGUUGAGAAGAUAUACAUAAAUUUAAUUUAGAUUAUAUAAUCUAAGGUUUAAUGUCUAUGUUUGACUUAUUUAUUAGCAUAUAGCAAAAAAGCCUAACUUUGUUGGGAUGGAGAAGGAACAAGCACAAUGAGAACUUUUAGCUUUCCUUGAGGCUGUUCAACCCAGUUUGAUGGUUUUGUUUGAGAAGAGGAGAAUGUUAUUCAAGAUUAAGUUUAUGCAGUUGAGGGCCGGGGAUGGUGAUUCUGUCAUACUAUCAUUGUUCUUUCUAUUGAAAAUGGACAGAGGGCUCGACUAACUGUCUUGAGUGCCAGAUUAGAGUCAUUGAUGCAUAUGGUUUUGUGUUGUCCAAGUUAAAUUGGACAUAGCAUGGUGUAAUACUUUGGGUGCUUCAUCUCUUUACCGCACAUUCCCUCAAGAAAAUCUCAUGUUUCUAACGUUCCUUUGUUACUUUUCAACGUUCUUGUAUGGGUUUGUCAUAUUUGGAUUUACAUGGUUUCUUCACUUUUUAUUAAGUAAAAAUAAAAUGUAUCAA